UCCAAUGGGCGGGCUGUAGUGGGGGAGCCGCAAGGCUCGCCGGUUUGUUUGUAUCCCGGUCUUCCAAUCCCGCUACGUGCCCGCUCACCCUU
rnacentral:antisense_RNA from 3 species